ACCAACUAGCCCACCAGUCUGUCCUUUUAAACUUCAUCUUUAGUUUAGCGCUGUGUUCCGUCUUGCUCUGUCAUCGUCUGUGUGAAUUUUUUGCGCUACUGUUCACAGUUAUGCAAUACCAACUAGCCCACCAGUCUGUCCUUUUAAAUUACAAACGUGUUUAUACAUGUGGUCAUAAUUAACUCAACAAGCAGGGUUAAUUGGUCUCUUGUUUAAAUAAAGCUUCCCUGCUCGGGAAUAGAACAAACUUUCACAACCACGGAUCGCAUGGGUUGCACAUGUCUAAAUGUUCUUAGCGAAGCAUCGGCCAGUAUGCUGGUCACACGCCAUCAUUUCAUGGUUAUGCCAGGACAGAGUCAUGAACAGCAAUGAGGGUGACAACAUCAUGUAGUGCCAUGCUCAAGAAAACUGUGUGGGGCUCUUAGUACAUCCUAUGGCAGCAUAAUCUUUUCUGGUGGCUUGGAAGUUCUUGUGGUGAUGAAUGCUGCCUAAUAUGUAUCAUACUUUAAAAACCCUGCCAGUCAGUCUUGUAUUACUGGUGCCCCACUUAAUACUGGUUUGCACACACUGUCACUGUGGUGCAACACCAUGAUGUGAUAGUGAGUGACAGUGUGGUCUGCACACACUGUCACAGUGGCACAACAGUGUGACACUAAAAUGUGACAGUGCGGUUUGCACACACUGUCACUGUGGUACAACAGUGUGGCACCAUGAUGUGACAAUGAGUGACAGUGUGGUCUACACACAGUCACUGUGGCACAACAAUGUGACUCUAAAAUGUGACAGUGUGGUUUGUUCACAGUGUCACUGUGGUGCAACAGUGUGACGCUAUGUUGUGACAAUGUGGUCUGCACACACUGUCACUGUGGCACAACAGUGUGACACUAAAAUGUGACAGUGUGGUUUGCACACACUGUCACUGUGGUACAACAGUGUGGCACCAUGAUGUGACAAUGAGUGACAGUGUGGUCUACGCACAGUCACUGUGGCACAACAGUGUGACUCUAAAAUGUGACAGUGUGGUUUGCUCAUAGUGUCACUAUGGUGCGACAGUGUGACGCUAUGUUGUGACAGUGUUUUGCAUACACUAUCACCACCACUACGCUUCACAUCUAUGUUUUAAAGAGACAGCACUGAAAUGUGCACCACUCUGGCUUGAAGACUUGAUAAGCCUUGCUGCAUGUGCAGCUAUGACAUUGACAGUGUAAUUUCGUAGCAGUUGGAUCUUCAUAGGCUAUAGAAUCUUACAAGUAUUUGGAUUUCUUAGAAUUGCCCUGCUUGGCGUACUGAUUCGUUUGGGUUUCAUUCUUAGCUGACUGUCAUAGCUGUCUUAGCUGCCUGUCAUGUUGCGCUCAUUCAAGCACCAACUUAGUGAAAAGCAAAAAAAAAAACAUUGCCUAAUGCGCACAUUAGUAACGACAGACUUGCACUUAGGUACCAUGUACUGAAGCAUGUAAAAGUGCCACAAGCGAGCAUUCUACACAAUCGCGCAACUGUCGUUGCCAAAAAGGUCACGCUGUCCACAUUUCAGAAGGAAUAACCUUUAACGCUUUUCUUUUGAGUGGCAGCGGUAGUGAUGUAAAUAUAUCAUGAGGUAAUGCAUAAACUUGUCCACAAAGAAAGCAUAGUGAAAUAGUUUUUAUUUAUUGUUUUAAUGUUUUGCCGGCUGAUUCUUUUUGCUCUUUUGGCUAACCUGUGCACAGUUCCUUUACCCAUAGAUGUGUUUUUUUUUUUGUAGGGGUGAGGAGGUGACAUGGAAAUGUUUUUAAAAAAUGAGUGUUUGUGUGUAAUCAUGAGAAAAAUUCUGAGCAACUGCCAAGACCUUGACUGCACUACCAUUUUCCACUGCUCUCUCGAAGUUUCCGUACAUGUCUCGUGUACAUAAAAGUGGGGCAUUCUAGAAAAGGAGAAAUAAACGAUCGGUUAAUUUGUGGUGAUUUUUUUUUUACCACCCAGCACAGCUCUGGAUAACAUGAUUCAUAACAUCCCAAAAUGUGACCCUUCGGGGUAAAAGGAAUAUUGUCCAAGGCUUUAAAAAAGUCAUAUCAGCAUUGAUCGUGUAGUUGCGAAUCUGUAAUAUUUCACCAACAUUCUAUAUGUCUUCAAGUUGAAAGUACCUGUGCUUGCUUUUGAGCGAAUGCAUUGCUAGGAACCAACAUUGGUUGGUCAUCAGGUUCGCCUCUUUCACGCCUCGUUUACAUCCAGGGAGCUCGAACGACUAAACAGUCUGCACUGGCGUACACCCUCUUUGUCAUGUUCAUCUAUCUAGUUGGGAAGCGUAGCGUUUCCGACAAUAACUACUGGAGGGAACUAGUGCUAGUGUCUGUGGGACCUUCAAGCAAGGUGGUUCAGACCAGAAUGGGAACGAUGGGUAGCACACGGAUUUACAUGAACUUAAUUCUUCCAGAACGGUUUUUCGGGCUAUUCGGUUAGAUACAUUUUCAGAAGUGUGCACUUAAAGACAUGUGCAAGAGUGUUGACUCAGUUGAAUGUUAGCACUCGUGUUGUUUGUUCCUCUUGUUCGUAUCUUCGAAUGCUAUGACCUCUCCAGAUUCGUUCUUGCGGCUUCGUACGACCUUUUUGCUUUAAAAACUGCCCAUUUACAACGAAAUAUUGCAUUAUGAAUGCAACGAUUUGUAAUGAUUAUGCUCGUGCACAGACCCAUAUUGCCUUCAUGCGCUUAGAGAAAUCUGAUCACUUAUAAAUUUAGGAAUAUGAUGUGGUAGUGCCUCCUCUACUGGUGACUAGAUUUAGCAGCAUCUAUAAAGAUAUAAGUACCAGAUGUUGUGUCUUUAUAUGAAGCUCCUUUUUUUGUUAGUAUGGGAUGCUUUAGUGUUUUCCAAGUACGUAAAUGAGUAGGUGUGCCUUCUCAACAUUUAAUUGGUAAUCACUCGCUUCCAUUAGCGCAGGAUAAGUGCACCACAGCAUUUUUAUCAGCUGUGACUUGACGCACUACUCAGUGAUAGAGGAAAGGCAGUUUCGCUUAGCGUUCGGUAAUGGUCCCAUUUUAUAAUGUGAUGUUAAAAAUGCACACUGGUGCUGUCUUGAACUUCAUUGGAAACUGUGUCUUAAGUCACUUUUUGAAUGUCAUCUGCGGGUGCGUUGGCUUUUCGUCCACUCUGCAUCUGCCAGGCACGUUAGCUUGGUGUUGAAUCGAUCAGAUAGCACAAGGGAAACGCUGUACUAGCUUUAGUUUUCAUCACGAACAGCCUUGUUACACAGAAGGAAUAUUAGCUAGCUUACCACCGAGCUUUGCGAAACGUGAAUCGAAAUACGUUGUUAGGCCUAACAACAUUGCAAGUAGUUUCUGUUGCUAAAAGCUAUACACAAGACAGAGACACAUGGCACAACACAUUAGCAUUGCAAAUGAUGUUAAAAGAGAGAGGGCGAUGCUUUAUCAGCGUUCAGCCGCUGCCUGCUUUGCAAAAUGAGAACUUUCAGUAAUCUCGCUUGUGUCACUGACGCUGGAAAACAGUAAUACACAAAGCCACCAGGACAUUGAAGCCACGAGCACGAAGGCUAGACAAAUCAGUGUAUUACCCAUUGUUCCCAGGGUAGCUGUAUGAUCAGUGCCAGAGUUGCCUCUAGUAAUUAUUUUAGGAAACUUAAGUGACACCACUUUUUAGCUCUUAGCAGCAUGUUUCAUGUUCAUGAAAUUUAUAAUGGAGGAAUGUUUUACGGACCAUGUACUUUUUUUCUUACCUAUGUGUGUGUAUAUAUAUAUGUGCAAUGUGGGUGACCAGCAACUUUGGACUGUUGUCCUUGUGCAAUUCUGUCAGAGGUGAUAGAUUUGAAUUCAAUACGAAGAGUGUCUUGACAUAUUGAAUGCGACUACAAUAGCUACGGAAAGUAUAACUACGUAUGCUUGUUGGCACACAAACAAGGAAGACAAGUCUAUGCAGUUGACAAAGUCUCGCAGGAUGACUACACAUGGGCACGUAACAUUAAUCAGUGCCUAAAGGAUGGCAACACUGCUACUUGUCGAGCGUGUAGCGUUUUCAAAAUCAGCAUACUGGCGUUAGCUGUAAGUAUGCUGCAUUUUGAGCUCCUGUGUUGUCACAGAGCUACGAAAUGGAACAUGUACUCAUGAACAGAGACCACUAGCCUGCUACCUUCUGGGCAGCCUCUGACUAUUUUGCCAGGCAUGGGCCAUUUCACAUGUUAACAGAAAAGACACUUGACAAUAAAAAUGUGAGAUGGCAUUAGUAUCAUGCCCUGAUUUUUCCCCCUGCCAAUUUCCCGACUUUUUUAAAUGGAUCGGUUUGCAAUUAAAUCAUGAGGUGCGUGCAUUGCACUUUGUGGGUAAUGAAUUCAGAAUAUGCAUGCCUGUCUUGCUUCUUGCAUGCUAAUGCAAUGUUAGUGGCAAUCAAUGCAAAGUAAUUCCUCUUGAUUGUGGUCCAGCAUGCUACCAUAGACAGCUUCGCUAUGCAUCACUUACUGUGUUGAUGUGGUAGCAUGCAACGAAGUGCUUCAGGAUGUUUUAAAGACCACAUAUCUUGCUCUACGAUUUUUUUCUUUCUUGCUGUCAUCUAUAUGCUCGUACUUUCUGGCAUUAAAGACAGUGCAGAUUGUUUCUGAAGAUGCAUAGCAGCGCUGCUGUUGCAGGAUUGAACCCUUGAUUAUGGUGAAGUGUAGUGUGGAUGUAACUUUGAAAAAAGAAAACAUGGGCAACUUCAUUGAAUGAUUGGAACAUGUCACUUGGAAGAGGAACACAAUUCUUGAGAGGUUGUAGCUUGUGGUUCGUAUCGAACUUGACUUAUGGCUGCAAUGAAACAUGUUCAUAACAUGUUUUGGGGGGAUGACACUGUUCAGUGUAACAGCGCCACAUGGUCACUAUUGAAGCCUGGCAAGGGUAUUCAAAUACCUGCCAAAUGAACUUCAGUCAUUUUGGUUUCUGGCUAGGCUGCCCCAUGAGCAGUGUGAAAGGGAACACCAGAUAAGGAUCCCACACUUCUGUUUCUCUUGAAUCCAUGGAGGUGCCACAGCACAGAUUCUUCGUCACAAUAACUGUGUUGCAAACAGUGGAAAAGCGACAUUCAGACUUGCUUGACUGUAGGAAUCAUUUGAGCUUGGAUUUGUUGUUUCCAUUUGUAUUGUGUUGAUGAAAAGUGUACAUACUGCCAUAUGCAGUUGUUAUUGGAGGUACACAACCCCUGGCUUGACGCAUUCGUCAGCCACGGACUUGUUUAAGCACGGAGUGUUUACUUGAAUGCCCAUUUUAAGUGAUUCUUUAUAGUUUUUGCUGCAAAGUUGUCAUCUCCCUCAUUUUUUAUUGCUUAUCGAUCAUGAAGGGUGCUUUCCAUGGCACUUCAGCUGUUUGUCAUUGUCAUUGCUUCUCUUUCCGGUUCUCCCAAUGUUGAACACUCACCUGUAGCUAAUAUACUGGCAGUAGUGGCCCACUGUGACGACCAAGUGAUGUGUGCUGUAUGUGUUUUUUGGCACCGACAAAAAACUUGGUAGCAACUCCCCAUACUCCCCACAAUUUGUAGUUGAAUCUCCAUUCUAUAUACAUAGAGGGGGCAUGUUCAAAUGCCACUUAGCGCUUAUGCAAAUGGUGAGAGUGUGUGCGUGUGUAUGUGUGUGCGCGUGUGUCAUGCAUUUGUGAGAUGUUGCACUUCACGGGACAUUGGUGGUGUUAUGUAUAGUGCGACUCGUACCCCACACGCAUGUCUGCUUUGUGAGGAUAGAUCGAAGCAAGUGCAUUGCUACCGCAAACUCGCGUGUGUGUCUCUUGGACGGCACGUGCAGUGGUAUGGAAUAAAGAUAUUUCUGCAUCCAAA